UCGUAUCUGCAGCCCGACUUGAACGGAGCUCUUUUUGUCAUUGCGAUUCUAGAAAAGUUCAACUUACGACCUAGCUCUCUUCGCAAUGACAAAAAAGCGGGAGUGGAAGGCGGAAAAGCUG
rnacentral:misc_RNA from 1 species